GAGUGCUAGAUUUUUUUUUAUUUUUCUUUAGCAUUUGUGAAGAUGGCAACCAGGGGAAGGCAGCAGAGGGAGUUGGAGGAGAGUGAUCCUGCAUCCAAUCAGGGGGAGAAUGAGGGCCACUAAUCAGACUCUGCACAGCCAACAAGAAGGCCUUCUGCACCACAAUCCACACCAAUUGAUGAUCAACAUCCUGUCAAAACUCUGGUACAAACGUUAGUAUGACAGGAAAGGCUCUGCGUCACCCAACCGCACCACAUCACUGCUGCACUGGCCCAGCACACCACUACUGAAGGGCCAACAACACAUGUGGCAAGUGAUGUGGAGCUGUCACCAACACAAUUAUGCAUAUCCCCGGCUCCUGCACUGGAUUCUGGUACGGAACAUUGAUCCUAUAUUGUGCUUUAAAAAACAAACAGAAGCAAAUCUCACAAACAGUGGUAAUUGUGAGUAUAGUAAGUUUAAUGUUUGAUUUGUUUUUUAAUGUAUUUUAAAAUGUACAAAAUGAGCUCUUUACAGAUUUUGCAGAGGGAGAGACCCACACCUUGCAUUUGUGCCUCAUAACACCAAGACCUGAAAAUGAUUUCCCACAACCACAUAAACUGCCACAGACCUCACCGCUACCUGCAAUAAACAGAGAUCAGGACAUACUCCAAGCCUUCCAAUUAUUUGAACAGACCCAGGAGGGGUUUCUAAAACAACAAAGUCAGCAAAAUAGACAAACUAAUAGACAAGUUUGGAGACUAAUUUCAGUCUUAGCAAAACUUAAGUACAGGUAUAGAAAACCAAAACCAAACACACAAUACUAACCCAACAUUGCCCACACAUGUUAUUAAUCAGCUAACUCAAGCUAUAACAACAAUAGGCAUACAAAUAUUGUCAAGGAUACUAAUACAAACAGGGAUAACUUCGGAAGCAGCAUACCUAGUGCAAGUGCAACACCACCCAUACCACCAAAACAUGGCCUACAUACACAUGGUGGGAUUAUCCGCAGGCCUGAAGAUCAGCCUUCACCCGCGCUAUAUCCUAAG